rnacentral:rRNA from 1 species
CAGUAGCCGCGGUAAUACGGAGGGUGCAAGCGUUAAUCGGAAUUACUGGGCGUAAAGCGUGCGCAGGCGGUUAUAUAAGACAGAUGUGAAAUCCCCGGGCUCAACCUGGGAACUGCAUUUGUGACUGUAUAGCUAGAGUACGGCAGAGGGGGAUGGAAUUCCGCGUGUAGCAGUGAAAUGCGUAGAUAUGCGGAGGAACACCGAUGGCGAAGGCAAUCCCCUGGGCCUGUACUGACGCUCAUGCACGAAAGCGUGGGGAGCAAACAGGAUUAGAUACCCCCGUAGUCCCUGUCUCUUAUAC